UACGAAGGGGGCUAGCGUUGUUCGGAUUGACUGGGCGUAAAGCGCACGUAGGCGGAUCGUUAAGUGAGGGGUGAAAUCCCAGGGCUCAACCCUGGAACUGCCUUUCAUACUGGCGAUCUAGAGUCCGGAAGAGGUGAGUGGAACUCCUAGUGUAGAGGUGGAAUUCGUAGAUAUUAGGAAGAACACCAGUGGCGAAGGCGGCUCACUGGUCCGGUACUGACGCUGAGGUGCGAAAGCGUGGGGAGCAAACAGG
rnacentral:rRNA from 1 species